rnacentral:rRNA from 1 species
UGGCGGACGGGUGAGUAAUGUCUGGGAAACUGCCCGAUGGAGGGGGAUAACUACUGGAAACGGUAGCUAAUACCGCAUAACGUCGCAAGACCAAAGAGGGGGACCUUCGGGCUUCUUGCCAUCGGAUGUGCCCAGAUGGGAUUAGCUAGUAGGUGGGGUAACGGCUCACCUAGGCGACGAUCCCUAGCUGGUCUGAGAGGAUGACCAGCCACACUGGAACUGAGACACGGCCCAG